GAUGAACGCUGGCGGCGUGCUUAACACAUGCAAGUCGAACGAUGAAGCCCAGCUUGCUGGGUGGAUUAGUGGCGAACGGGUGAGUAACACGUGAGUAACCUGCCCUUAACUCUGGGAUAAGCCUGGGAAACUGGGUCUAAUACCGGAUAGGAGCGCCUACCGCAUGGUGGGUGUUGGAAAGAUUUAUCGGUUUUGGAUGGACUCGCGGCCUAUCAGCUUGUUGGUGAGGUAAUGGCUCACCAAGGCGACGACGGGUAGCCGGCCUGAGAGGGUGACCGGCCACACUGGGACUGAGACACGGCCCAGACUCCUACGGGAGGCAGCAGUGGGGAAUAUUGCACAAUGGGCGAAAGCCUGAUGCAGCGACGCCGCGUGAGGGAUGACGGCCUUCGGGUUGUAAACCUCUUUCAGUAGGGAAGAAGCGAAAGUGACGGUACCUGCAGAAGAAGCACCGGCUAACUACGCG
rnacentral:rRNA from 1 species